UUCCGAGUGGUACCGUUCGGAGCGCUAAACGCUGCCGCAAUUGUCGCCGUGGAAGAGGAAGAUUCUUCAUUCUAUUGUUCAAGCCCAAGAAUAACCAUGCGUCUCGUGUACGCCGGUCACGUGUACGUGUUGUGAAUAUUUUUUGUAGCACGAGUUAUUGUGAAGUGGGGCAGCAUAAGACUUGUGUUCCAUAUAAAUGGAGAAGGAUCUAAGGUUAAAAGAGUCAAACGACAACCUGCUGCUGUACACACAAGAGUGGCGUCAUUAAUAGAGGCUCUGACUCAUUUCAAAGAAAUGUGGAGAUUGUAAAUAGUAAAAUGAUUUUCUUUUUUAAUGUUGAUAUGUACCUCUAUAAAUGUAAGUUUUAAUGUUGAUAAUGCACACCUAUGAAUGUAAACCUGUGUCACAUUUCUUUAUUGUUUACAAAAAAGAUUUCGUGAUUUGUUAUUACAGCCAUUUUGUAUUAUUUCAGCUUUGAGAAUAUAAAUUUUAAGCUGUUUUUUUGAGUUGAGCUAUUUUUAAUAUGUUUGAUGGUAACGGAGCAUACUAUGUAAAUUGUGGUGUAUUCGGACUUGUUUAUGGUAUUAUUGUUAGUGUGUUACCAAUAAAUUCUUAUUGGCAAUUAUUAUUUAAGGUUUAAAACUUUAAAUUUGUAAAGCUACUGUGCCUCUAUUGAUAGUAUAAUAAUAAUUUCUGCGUGGUGUUAGUUAUUUAUAAUAGGUAUUUAUUCUCUAGAGAUUAACUUUUUUUAAACGUUUUACAGUCAAGGCCCAUACCGACAAGCCAUGUCCUCAAGAAACUUGCCUUUGUUGCAUUGUUUUUAUUUAAGAUUGUGUUUAACUGUAAAUAGCGUAAAACAGUCACUUUUUAAACAUGAAAUAUUGUUUCGUGGUAUAGGAAAACUUUUCCUGAAGACAAUGGUCUAGAUACAAGUGUUUCCAAUGACAAUUUCAGAUUUUUUUAUUUUCAUCUUUGAUGGGUUUAUUGUAAUACAAUGAAGUGUUUAACUCAUUUACUCAAUAAUUAAUUCAUCAACGCACAGCCCAAACCGUUGGAACUAGACCAAUGGGUUUUUUUUUUAGCAAAUUUUUCAAUUUUGCAAAAUUUGUUAAGAGGGUGAAAGGCAGUAGAAUGUUUUUUUUUUCUUUUCUUUCCCUUAAAUUACCUAAUGUAUCGAGGUGUUAUUUUCUUAAGAAUGAGGCUUAUGUAAAUAUCUAAAGUAUUUUCAGAAUUUUUCUAAAUUCUAACUUUUAAGCCAUAAAAAAAUGUUUCCAAUUAAUUAUCUGUAUCUGUUAAAUUUGUUAAGACGAUGUCUUGAUAAGAAUUAAGGUUGUGAAAAUUUCUAAAAAUCAGUUUCUGGAUUUUAUGAAAUUUGAAACUUAAUGAUGUGAAAAGCAGCAAAAUGUUAAGACUCCUGUAAAAUGAGCAUGACCAUGGAGAAAGAAAUAAGCAGUUACUUUUUGCCAUGUUCAGAGAAAAACCUCUUUGGUGUGGGCCUGUACACAAGAAAAAAUUCUAACGAUCUCCUUGAAGCAUUGUCGAGUAUUUAAGUCUGCUAUGCUAAGGGAGGGGGGGGGGGGUUCGUAUUCCACGUAAUACUUUGUGAAAGUUAUUACUGUGAUAUGUGCACAAAUAUUAUCGAAAGCCAGAAGAUAGUGAUGUAACACUAGAUUAAUUUGAACUGCUCUGAUUAACUUAGGACUUGAGAGCCGAUAAGGGCAACAUGGGUUGGAUAUAGAGCAGUGUAUGGAAUGAAGGGUGGGAGAAACUGUGCUCUCCAAAUGUCAUUAUUCAAGCACAAUUCACACUUGGGAAAAUACUGAUUAAUAUCAAAAGAAUACCUCCAAAGAAUUUCCUCAGAAAAGGGCUGUGGGAGAGGGCAUGUAUAUUAAAGACAGCUGCCCAACUGUUUACCUUACAUUAUUCCACGCGGGCAAAGUCGUAGCUGGGCAGCUAGUUUUGGUAUAAGAUGACAAUAUGAGGUAUAAAAGCAACAUAAUGUAGGUAUUAAUCCUUGUUUUAAUAUGUACGGUAGUAAGAUAUAAGUGCCUAUAUGUAGAACUACACAAUUUGUAGGGGCGCAAACACUACUUCUCCCUGCAAAUCAUUCUGUUGCUGAGCAAGCGCUCAACCUCGGAUAUUUUAUUGCGAGUCCUCAACAAUCAGUGAUAUAUACACCAGCUACUACUAUCAAUUAAUUGAAAUACAAACACAUUGUUAUCUAUAUGUCAAGUCUCAAUUUUUGUACGAUGCCUAUAAACAGUAAAUUAUAUCGUGCUUGUAUAUAUUUGUACAGUUACUUCAUGCAUUGCGGAAAGCACUUGUCUCUAUUCAUAACCCUUUUUUUCAUUUCUAAACUAUAUUAAAUACAAAGUGAGCAACUAGUAGUAUUGUGGAGUGAAAUGACAGUCGUAUUUAUUAAACUAAGGUAUGAAAAAAUAAUUGUAAUAUUAUGACCCCAUAUUUAAUAAUGUAGGCAUUUGAGAACUUGAAAAUACAUUCUGAGUUACAUUUAAAAUUUUUGUCUAAUGGCAUAGAUGUCACUUUUAG